UCCCUCCUGCAAGGCAGGCCCUACUGACCAAAUGCUCCACCUGGUGAUGGGUCUGGUCCUGAAGAAGGAGAGAGCAGCCAGUGCCCCUUCUCUUGGUGGUCUCAGAGCUUGAGGAUCAUUGUUUAAGCCCAUGCACAGGUGCAAAGAAGGGAUUUUCAAGGGAGAUGCAAAGCAUUAAAUUCAGCUACUAGACGUGUAUGCCAGGCUAGCUUGGCUCUAACUCUCUUGUGGUCAGAGGGUCGUUGUUUCUUGAUAAAGCAAAUAUUUUGUUAUGGAUUAGGCAUUCUGUUAGUGAUAACAACAGUGAUUUGAAUGGGGCUUUGUUAGUACUGGAGUGUAACAGGAGGGGAAAGGCGACUGCUGCAGAGAGGAAACUUCAUUUUCAUAGCAAAAUGUGGCUACUGCAAGGUCAUAUGGGGAAAACAGCUCUAUCAGCUCUAAAAAAAGACCAGGGACGAGCUGACAUGAGAGGGAAAUUACCCAUUCAGCACAUCAGGUUUCCUCCCUUGCCACUCAGAAACUGCUGUAGCGAAGUGACCUGGACCACUGAAGAAAUUGAGUGUCUUGUUUGUUCUAAACUACCAGGAAAAACUCCUUGCCUCCCUUGACAGUGAAGACUCAUGCUGAGAGAUCUACUGGUUUUUCAAACACCAGCUCCCAGCGACUCAACCAGCGCUCUUCCUAGUGCAUUGUGUUUCUAGGUGUGGUAUAAAUUUCUCCAAAAGCACAGCCCAUGAAUGGCAUCUUCCAAACCUGUAGCCAUCAGGCAACUGCAUUGCAUAAACUUCCCUAAGGAAAGUUUUUGUCAGGAGUCAUGAGUCACCAGUAACAAUGUGACCACGCUCAGUUUUUGUGACUUGACUGCCUGCUGGAGAAUGUAAAUAUUUAAAUCUAUGAAACCCUAAGAAAACAAACAAAAAAAAUCAAAUUGCAAAGCUCCUUACAAAAUGGAAUCUUAAUAUGUAUUUUUCAGCUCCCAGAGCGAGGGGACCUUUUUGGAAAUAUAGAUUAUGGGUCCUACUAUCCUAGCCAUGUUGGUAGCUUUCCACUGGAUGCUUUCUUUUUUCUUAACAUAUCAAGCUGGGAUGCCCAUAACUGCACCUCUGGCUCCAUGAGGAUGAACACAGAUUUUUUUAAGUAGUUCCCAACUUGUUGUUUCCUAGGGGUACUUCAAUGUGUUGGGUUACUUAAGCCUAUUAGAUACCAUCUUCUGGUAGGUUAUCACCUUUGUGCUAGUGUCGGAUUCAGCCCUGCAUGCUGGAGCAUUUCAUGAAUAGGAAGCAAUCCAGAUUCUUUUUUUUUAUUAUUAUUUUAUUUUAAUUAUUUUUCAUUUCAGUGACGGUGAACAGCAUUUUAUUCCAGAAAAAGAAGUAGUCACAAGAUCCUAGCCAUUUGGUAUAAUAACUGUUAAGUAGCUUCUACUGUGUGCACAGAUACCUGAAGAGUGGCAUUGUCUAAAGGUGCUUCUGAGCAGCACAUCUGUGUAUUUGCUGCAGCCUUUGUUCACAAUGCCAUGGCUGAGGCAGAUGCAUGUUGAUUUUUAGCUAAGGUUUAUUUUAGAGGAAGUGGGAGGAAAGAAAUUAAUUAUUGGGUCACUGCUGAGCCAUUCUUUGGUUUUGGCUUUGUGCUGGCAUUUUCUUUUUCAAAUGAAUUUUUGAAUUAUUUUUUUUAAUGGAAAUGUGGGCAGAUGGACUUGGAAAAGUAACUCUUCACUAGCUCAACUGAGAAUCUGAAGCAAUUACAUAUUUUAUAGCUUCCUUAAAGCUUUAUUCUGCUCUCUCAACAAUCAUAAAACACCUCUUCAUCUCAGUAGCUGACCUGCCUGUUUCACCCACCUAGAUACUGUCCUAUGUGGCUGUUUCAGGUCUCCCCCCAUCUGCUCCCACUAUUGUACACGGCCCACAGCUUAAAUACUGCCUUGCAAAUGUGUACUUUGGUUUGCCCCUGCCCACACUCAGUGACAUCUGCUUUCAUGCAGUUUCUUGGAUUUCUUGGUGGAUGCUGGCCAUCAUGUGCCAAGGACUGGCCCUAGGAGAUGUGGAGUCAGUACGAUGGGUAAAUGUUCUGGUCAGUCACACUUUGAGAGGACAAUGAGAGCAAAAAGAAAAAGUGGCAAAUUCUGAAAUUUUGAAAUGUGAGGAAAUAACAUCGUCACCCAACUAUAACUGAUGCGUUAGAAUUGUGCCUGAGGGUCUGGUGAAGGAAACUGCAGGCAACAAGGUAAGCUACAGCUGCCAGGUGGCUGAGUAACAUCUGCGUUGGUUUAAGGUUGUGUACAAAAGAAGUAGAUGAAGUACCAGCAGAUGGCACCGGGGAAUAUGCAGUGAUGUCUAUUGCGUGGGGCCAAUAACAUUUCUAGCAGCAUGUUUUGAAUAUGUACCUCAGCUCCGUGCUCUGCACUGCACAGAGCAGGGUCCCUGCUGCUGGGAUCCUGGGGUGGCAAGUGGUCUGACACUGGAGUACAGGGACAAACCUGGCUUUCUGAGCUGCUGCAGGUAAUACCCUGCUUCCUUGCUGUCCCAUCAGAAUUUCUGUCAUCAGAAAUUCAUCCUGACUGCAUGUUGCCUUCUCUCCCCUUGGUUGGUAUGAAAAGUUCAGGUUCUCACACUCAGUUUCCAAGCCUUUCUCAGUGGGUAUGUAAUCAAGAAUAUGGCUUCUGAUCCAAGGCUGGGCCAGUUUACUCCAGGAAACAAAAACCUCUGUAGUCUUUAUGCAGUCCCCAGCAACCGUAAGAGUAGGAGCAUCCAGCUUGCAGGCAGUCUUCAGAGCCAGCGAUGCUGCUGUUGAUGUAUUGUCAGGCUGUGCGUGAAUGCAAGUGAUCAAAGCUCCAGAUAUGAUUCAAUAAAAUCAGAAUUCUAUUAAGUCCUCACACACACAAAAAAAAUCCCAUUAAUUUGUGUUGAGAGAUCCUAGCACUAAUUAGCCCAUUCUGAACAAUUGCUGUUUAGGGUUUGAAAUUCAAUGAAAGGAGAAGACAGACAGGUAUUGCUCCAGCAAUCCCACCAGCUGGGACUGCGUUAUCAGUUACAUGGUUAAUAAGACAGUGUGGCAGUAGAAAGUAAACUGCUGCACAAUGCACAAAGGCAGUAUGUUAAAUAUGAAAGGUUAACCGUGUCCAUCCACCACGCAGAACAGAGGUCAGCAUCCUAUAGAUUUAUGCCUUGUAGUAGGCUGUAGUCCCUGGUGAAACCUUUCUCUAUGGCCGGACAAGUUCUUGCUGGUUUCUGUAGCAUAUGAACAGACAAAGCAGCCAUUCUUUUUGGAAGAAAAAAAAUAAAAAAUGGAAGAGAGAGGACAAGGGAAAACCCAAGUCCAGCCUCUGCCCUACCGGCCAUCCAGCACGGUGGAAAAGUCGAUUAGACAGUUGCAACCUGUGCAUGGCCACCCCAAAUCUUACUGCAACCUGUAUGGCCUGCACAGCAAUGAACCAGCCCCUCUGCUUUUUGCUACCAGGCUGCUGGGAGCAGAGCGCUCCAGGAGUCUCACCAGGGGGAAAGUGAUGUCAGCAUAGCUUUUUUUCCAGAGUUGCCCUGUAAAUAGGUAUUUUGGGCAGGUGAGUGAAAAGCUGAUGGCUGUGGGAGAAACUGGGCACUCUCUGAAGUGCUGUGCUUGAACUUGUGGUGCUGGGGGACAUCGACACAGAGGCAUGCUGCUCAUCUUCUGUGCCCUCUGGGUUGAUGCUAAAUCCAUGCUUUUCUGAACUUUAAUUCCACUGGCUGUCCAGGGACAUUGGCAUGCAUCUUCCAUCAUAAUGAUUCAUUUCACUCUCCAGUCAUCCCAUUCAUUUUACUGUUCUAGGGAUUUUCCUGAAGUUCUUAAACUCUGCAUGAAGUUUAAAGACAGGCACAUAAGUACACAAUUCCUUUUGUAUCCAUCUCUGACAUCCAAAGGAAGCUCAUUUCAUUCAGCCAAAAUGCUGCGUAUAAUAAAUGUUGUAAAUGCUGGUCUGUCAAGUGAGAGUGUCUGAUAGUGAACAAUAAAAUGCAACAGAGGGGUUGUCUCAGAGAGGUCCUCUCUGGGUCUAAACUUUGUAAAACCAAACAAAAAGAAAACAGGCCUGCUUCCUAUACAUGAUCUUUAAGUUGAUGCAGUUUGCCACAAUAUUUCUCAAAUAGUUCAAAAUGGUGAUUGCACUUGCAAAUUAAACUAUUCCAAAUCAGACAUAGCUGAGGUGAAAUGUUGCAGGGAAAUCCUGGAGUUUCUCAUUCUUGUUAGAUUGCAUGUAUAGAGUCAAGCCCUCAGCUGACAGAACUGAGGCUUACUUAAACUGAACGUUGCUGCUUUCAGACUGCUAUUGUUUUGCUAUAUAGUGUAUAUAUGCAUAUUCAAUGUUUUGUCUGAUUGUGUUUUCAAAGCACAGUAAAUACUGUAUGUGAAAAUAAAUUACUGUUAAUGAUAACAGCAAUAGGACUAAUAAUAAUAUUAAUAACAAGAACAAUAAUAAUAAUGGGAUGCCCGGGCUGGAUGCGUUGUUGACUAAAGUGGACCUUCCCAUAUUACUACCUGUCCCCCUAAAGAGAACAUCUUAAAAAGAAAAAAAAAAGGUUGGCUUGCAGAUCUCUUAGAAUAGUGCACAUGGGUUUCUGGGUUCUGCUGCAGACGGGUUGAUAACUUCGAGCAGGUGGUAGGACAGAUCUGGUCCAUGGUAGGCUGGUGCCUGUGAAAACCACCUGGUUAGAGCAGGUGGGUCAUGGAAGACCUGGCUGCAAUGUAUUACGUUAUUGGUUAGAAAGACUUUAUAUAAAGAUCCAGGACUCUCUCUUUGAUGCUUUAGAGUUUAUUGCUUUCUUUUCCAUAACCUCAGCCCUGUGCUCUGCUCCUCUUUACUUGGCAUGCAAAAAAGCUGUCCCUGGCUUUCAUUGCUCUUCCUGCCUAUCUUUCCUGCUGAGUUCAACCCCAUUAUUUUUUGUCCCCUCUGCUAUGCCUUUUUCUGUCAUCUCUGCCCCCUCUUCUCUCUCUCUCAGGUCUUUCAUCAUGAUCUCGGCAGGUAAUGCCUCCCCUAUUGACUUCAAUGGGCAGUAGGCAUGCCCUUCCUCCUGCAAAGGUUCCGGCUCACAUUAGGGACACAAUUACAGAUCUUUGCAACAGUGCCACUUAUCCAAAGGGCAAACUGGUAUUUCAGAUGACCCAUUUUCAUGAAUAAACAUUAAAUCCAGAAAAUAAAGAUUGAUUCAAAACCAUCCUGUUGCACCAUUUAUAGGAAAAAUCUGAUAUGCUGAGGUAUCUCUUAAUACUGCAUAACCACAAUCUUUUUCCAUUAGAAGUCAUUGAUUAAAUGUCUA